CCUACGGGAGGCUGCAGUGGGGAAUAUUGCGCAAUGGGCGAAAGCCUGACGCAGCGACGCCGCGUGCGGGACGAAGGCCUUCGGGUCGUAAACCGCUGUCGGGAGGGACGAAUUCAUGACGGUACCUCCAAAGGAAGCACCGGCUAACUCUGUGCCAGCAGCCGCGGUAAUACAGAGGGUGCGAGCGUUGUCCGGAAUCACUGGGCGUAAAGGGCGCGUAGGUGGCCUGGUAAGUAGGGGGUGAAAUCUUGCGGCUCAACCGCAAGACUGCCUUCUAAACUGCCUGGCUUGAGCACAGUAGAGGCAGGUGGAAUUCCCGGUGUAGCGGUGGAAUGCGUAGAGAUCGGGAAGAACAUCGGUGGCGAAGGCGGCCUGCUGGGCUGUAGCUGACACUGAGGCGCGACAGCGUGGGGAGCAAACAGGAUUAGAUACCCCGGUAG
rnacentral:rRNA from 1 species